rnacentral:rRNA from 1 species
UCCCAGACUCCUACGGGAGGCAGCAGUGGGGAAUAUUGCACAAUGGGCGAAAGCCUGAUGCAGCGACGCCGCGUGAGUGAAGAAGUAUUUCGGUAUGUAAAGCUCUAUCAGCAGGGAAGAAAAUGACGGUACCUGACUAAGAAGCCCCGGCUAACUCCGUGCCAGCAGCCGCGGUAAUACGGGGGGUGCAAGCGUUGUCCGGAAUCAUUGGGCGUAAAGCGUUCGUAGACGGUGUGUCAAGUCUGAUGUUAAAGCCCGGGGCUCAACUCCGGUUCGGCAUUGGAUACUGGCAAACUAGAAUGUGGUAGAGGUAAAGGGAAUUCCUGGUGUAGCGGUGAAAUGCGUAGAUAUCAGGAGGAACAUCGGUGGCGAAAGCGCUUUACUGGACCAUUAUUGACGCUGAGGAACGAAAGCCAGGGGAGCAAAUGGGAUUAGAUACCCUCGUA